rnacentral:rRNA from 1 species
GACGAACGCUGGCGGCGUGCCUAACACAUGCAAGUCGAACGGGGUCCAUGGGAGCUUGCUCCCGGAAGACCUAGUGGCGAACGGGUGAGUAACACGUGAGAAACCUGCCCUGGAGUGGGGAAUAACUCGGGGAAACUCGAGCUAAUACCGCAUACCCUCGGAUGGUCGCAUGGCCGACCGAGGAAAGAUUUAUCGCUUCAGGAGGGUCUCGCGGCCUAUCAGCUAGUUGGUGGGGUAACGGCCUACCAAGGCAACGACGGGUAGCUGGUUUGAGAGAACGAUCAGCCACACUGGGACUGAGACACGGCCCAGACUCCUACGGGAGGCAGCAGUGGGGAAUCUUGCGCAAUGGGCGAAAGCCUGACGCAGCAACGCCGCGUGCGGGAUGACGGCCUUCGUGGUUGUAAACCGCUUUCAGCAGGGACGAAAAUGACGGUACCUGCAGAAGAAGCCCCGGCGUAACCUACGUGCCAGCAGCCGCGGUAAU